AUUGAACGCUGGCGGCAGGCCUAACACAUGCAAGUCGAGCGGAUGAAGGGAGCUUGCUCCUGGAUUCAGCGGCGGACGGGUGAGUAAUGCCUAGGAAUCUGCCUGGUAGUGGGGGAUAACGUCCGGAAACGGGCGCUAAUACCGCAUACGUCCUGAGGGAGAAAGUGGGGGAUCUUCGGACCUCACGCUAUCAGAUGAGCCUAGGUCGGAUUAGCUAGUUGGUGGGGUAAAGGCCUACCAGGGCGACGAUCCGUAACUGGUCUGAGAGGAUGAUCAGUCACACUGGAACUGAGACACGGUCCAGACUCCUACGGGAGGCAGCAGUGGGGAAUAUUGGACAAUGGGCGAAAGCCUGAUCCAGCUAUGCCGCGUGUGUGAAGAAGGUCUUCGGAUUGUAAAGCACUUUAAGUUGGGAGGAAGGGCAGUAAGUUAAUACCUUGCUGUUUUGACGUUACCAACAGAAUAAGCACCGGCUAACUUCGUG
rnacentral:rRNA from 1 species